rnacentral:rRNA from 1 species
UACGUAGGGGGCAAGCGUUGUCCGGAAUUAUUGGGCGUAAAGAGCGCGUAGGCGGUCCGGUAAGUCAGCUGUGAAAGUCAAGGGCUCAACCCUUGAAAGCCGGUUGAUACUGUCGGGCUAGAGUCCGGAAGAGGCGAGUGGAAUUCCCGGUGUAGCGGUGAAAUGCGCAGAUAUCGGGAGGAACACCAAUGGCGAAGGCGGCGAUCUGGGAAGAUACUGACGCUGAGGUGCGAAAGCGUGGGGAGCAAACAGGG